UUUGGUUGGCUAUUUGAUCGGCAUUUAUAAAGAUCCCAUGGAAUCCAUAUGGAACUCCAGCAGGCAGGCAGCUCUAUAGAAGCCACUAUCUCAAGUGUGGGCGAUUUGGCAUCCAUGACCAAAAGCUCCGAGACACCAUUUUUCUCAUCAUGGAUGUAGCUUAAGAUGACAUAUCCAUCGUCUUCCUCCUCGCCAUUCGCCACAAAACUUACCAUGUUCGAAUCUCCUUGACGCCACACCAGAUUGACCUUGGCCAGGCCGCAGAUUUUGGGCCAUGGCCCAUAGUAGCACAUGUAGACGUACCGGUUCUUCUGCCCCAGGAAUUUCUGGUUGAUCUUUCCAAAAUCCAGCCCCGCCGAGCACACAUGUUGCUUCCACGACCGUCCAGAUCGAAGGUCCAGGUGGAUCUUGUGCAAUCUGUUGGCCAAUCUGGCGAAAUCGUCAAACAGAUGUUCCACUGGCGUAAUGGACACGACGAUCUUGUCCAUCCCUUCCUCCCAGGCGUGGAUGUAGUGGAAUUACAUCCAAUCCAGGACGUCGAUCCGGAAGAUCCCACGGCCAGGAUGCCGGGGAGGAUCAAUCUGGGACCCUUGGGCAGUAUCUCCAUCAAUGACCAAUUUGUUCUUGAGCACUACAUCCUGGAAAUUCAACUCUUUUCCUCCCGUCUGGGCUUGCCUAGAAGUAACAGAAGUGGUGAUUGAUCACUGAAGUUAACCAUGAAGAACUUACCAAAGAUUUCUAUUUUUGAUGAGCACAAGUGAAAUCUAGGCUAUUAUUCAUGUAAAAUCUAACCUUGGGCUUCACUAAUCUACCUACUACCCCUCCUAAUGCAUCUUGGGUUAGAACCUCAAUGCAAUCCUCACCUAGUUGUUAGUGAGUGGUUGAACCAUUUGAUGUGGCAGUUAACUGAGGUGAAGAGUAAAGUGGGGGGUUAUGCACUAAAAAUCCCACAAUGGGUAUUUAAAUUAUAUAAGCAUGGGAUUUUGGUCAAAAACUAUAUAUGUGCAUAAUUCUAAAAUAAAGUUACACUGCUAGGAAUUUUAUAUAAAAUUUUAGGAAGAAUGAUUUGAAUUUUAUUAGACAGAAUUGUGGUAUGUUUUCAUUUUCAUUAACAAUUCUAGUUAUUCCUAAUAUGUACUGCCAAAUUGAUUUAUUUUAAAAAUUGUUCUAUUUUUUAUUCUAGGAAUUUUGGCUUAUAUUUUCUACUUUAAAUCACUAAUCCUGGACAAUGCUCUUGUUAGCUAGUGUUGCAACUAUGUUGUGAAUCUCAUUUAAACUCAUGUUAUAGAGUCAACAAUAGUGUUAUAAAUUUGGUAACUUCUUCUUAAGUACCUCUAUGAACUUUUUGAGAGAUAAUUAUAAAAAGUUUAGUGAAGUAUCUAACUUAUAGCUCUGGUGUUGUGUGAGUGAAUGAGUGAAUCUUAAAGUAAAUAUGCUAGCUACAUUGGUGUCACUGAUAGAAAUCCUAAUUUGCAAAAGAGAACUAAGUCUAAAAUGGUCACACUUGUUUAGGGUAGGUUCACUCAAAGGGUUAAAAAACCUAUUAUAUACCUUUAGAGUAAAGGUUUAAAUGCUUUUUUAAGUAUAUUCUUGGUGUUGCCUAAUCUAAAAUUUAAGUGUUAUUAGGGGUUUAAAUAAAAGCCUAACUAAUUGAGAUAUAUGAUCUUCUUUUCUCAAACCUUAUAUGUAUGGUUUUUGAGACAAGUUGAGUGUAGACAUAUUUGCUCGAGCCUUGUCAAAUGCCUUUCCAUCUAUGAACAUGAUUGUGAGACACAAAAUCCCUAGGCCCCAAAGUGGAGCCGGAAAGGGUGCCACGUGGUAGUGGCUGAAGCGAGAGCCAAACGAGCGUAACACGUUUGGACCAAAAGCUCCGACUUGAAAAGUCAAGAGCGGGAGUGGAACUCCCAACGAAGUGCUCGAGGAACGAGCAUGAAGCGAGCAAAAGGCGAGGCUCCAAAAAGGGACCCAAAAGGACCAACACAUGACACGGGGGAGUGUCCGAGAUGGACCCGAGUUGGAGUCCGAAGUGGAGUCCGAGAUGGACCCGAGUUGGAGUCCGAAGUGGAGUCCGAGAUGGACCCGAGUUGGAGUCCGAAGUAGAGUCCGAGAUGGACCCGAGAUGGAGUCCGAGAUGGAGUCCGAAGUGGAGUCCGAGGUGGACCCGAGUUGGAGUCCGAAGUGGAGUCCGAGAUGGACCCGAGAUGGAGUCCGAGAUGGAGUCCGAGAUGGAGUCCGAGAUGGAGUCCGAGAUGGAGUCCGAGAUGGAGUCCGAAGUCGAGACCGAGACCGAGACCGGGACCGAGACCGAGACCGAGACCGAGACCGAGACCGAGAUCAGGAUCGAGACCGAGACCGAGACCGAGGCCGAGGCCGAGACCGAGCCCGAGCCCGAGUCCGAGUCCGAAUCCGAGUCCGAGUCCGAGUCCGAGUCCGAGUCCGAGUCCGAGUCUGGAGCCUGAGAGGGUGAAAGCCCAAAGCGUUCGUCUCCCAGACCCUGGGGGGUUUGGUGAGCUCCAAAAGUAUAGUAAGGGGAGGACUGCAGUGGAGCCAGUUUGGCCAGGAAAGGCCAGUUUGGCCCAGGAAGGCUGGACCCAGUGUUGGGUGAUGAGCUGCCCACUGGGAAGUCUAAGACUAGAGUGAACACAGACCGACAAGCGGGGUAGCUUGGUGAAGUGUUCAAGAGCCGGCUCUAGUUCCCCCGGGAGAUCGACUGGCCGAUGCUCCCAGUCCAAGUGUGGGUGGCACUACCUACUUGGAUACCUGGUGUGGCUCAACGGAACCCGCUCUAAGCCCAUGGCUAGAGCACCCAAGGGCAGAAGGCGAGGAGAGUACCCAGGUGGCUCGCGUAAGGCCACGGUGUUCCGAAAUGUUGUCCCAAAGGCCCAGACUGUGGAAAGGAAGAGGAGUAGUCCUCUGGGGUAGUGACCAAGGACACAGUCGUGUGGUGGGGAAGUCCCAGAGGACCGUGGGACUUAGUGGUCGGGCCUGUGGGUCUCGAUCCAGUGGCAGUGUUGGCAAACACGGCCAGGGGCAGAAAGGGACUUAGUGGGGACUGACAGAGGGAUAUUGGGGAAGGCUAUUCCCCUUGUCGGUGGGCAUCCUAAGGAUGCUAAGGAGUGGAUCUGAGAUGACCACUCAUGGAUGGUUUGCCUAGUCUUGGAGAGCCAAGACGGUGAUGCAAGUGGUAUUGGACUACCAGUGUGGCAAAGGUGAUUGGGCAUGGCCUUAGCGUAACAGGCUGCUAUGUCGGUGGUACCUUUGAGUGUCGGUCAUGGGAUCGGACACGUGGAGCACUUGGACCAAGUGCAAAUGUUGAGUGGCAUGGAUGCCAUUCUCGGGGCUAGCAAGUCCCAAGUCCUGGAUUGGACUUAUGGAGGUUGUGAAUGAGACUCCUCCAAGUGGUCAGAGGUGUGGUUAAGUGACUAAAGUAGAAUGGAAAAUUUAGUCCCUUACAAUGAUGAAUUUUAGAGUAUUUUUUAAGCUUAGUUGUUAAUGAGUUUCAUGGCAUCCUUGUGCAUAUGUUUCCUACUUGAGAAUAGGUUGUAAAGAAAAUAGAAAAAUGUUUCAAACCUCAAAAGAUGAGGAAGAACUACAAGCACAAGACAAAGUAAUGACACCACUUUCUUCCAUAAAUUUUUAAUCCCUCUAAAAAAUUAUAACCCUAGCAAGCAUUAAUCUAAGCUAAAUUCUUAGUGCUUAUGUGUUGUGAUGCAAUCUAGAAUUAGUGCUGUGACAACACACCCUAGAGCAAUGGUGUGCCUUGGCAAACAAAAGUCUUUGCAAAUCUACAUUCCAUCCCUAAUAAUAGUUGGAAAUGCCAAAGCUACAAGAUUUCUCAAGAUUGUUCAAUUUAGAGAAUACUAUGCUGCUUGACACUUAAUGGCAUCUACCCUAAACCCUAGAUCUAACUUCAAACACUCAAACCAAGAGAUUGUUCCUGAAUAACCUUUGAAUAAUUCAAAGAUAAUUCCCAAACCUUGAUAAAGAAAUAAACCAUUAGAUAAUGUCCCAGGAAAGAGAAUGCCACCACCAACUCUCACAGCCUGGAUUACGUUUGAUGCAUCAAGCAACACAAAAGUACUUGAACAAUACCCAUUUAACAAAGGGAUGUUAGAGCAUAGAAUAUACCUCAAUCUUGCCUUUAAGAUUUGUGAAAUUUCUUCUUGGAUAGAAUGGCAUCUACACAAAAACUUUAAAGAAUUAGCACUUAUACCAUUGAUGUUUAGGAAGAAAUUUAUAUAGCUUUGAUCUUAAUUAAAUUUUAAAUUGGCUACCUUGUUUGAUGAAUAACUUUAAUACAAUUUGAGAGCCACGUGAUUGCAUGUAUAUGACAAUAGGUGUUGUAGAUGAAGGUUCUUGCUUACGCAUUUAGGUUAUACUUCAUCUCUCUCUCUCUCUCUCUCUCUUUCUCUCUCUCUCUCUCUCUCUCUCUCUCUCUCUCUCUCUCUCUCUCUCUACAUUAGGCAUAAUAGAUUGAAAUAGCAUGAUUUCCAUAAUAGGUGUGAAUGGUUGGGCAAGAAAGUCAAAAUUUGCUAGUCAUAGUCAAAGUAACAAAAAAAUAUUCAAUUUAUGCUAUUUUAUUAAGGUUAUUUAGGGAGUACUUUCUUAUCUAUAUUGCAUCAUGUAUAUAUAGUGAAUUUUUUUAUUUGUUUUUACAUUUAUCCACUAAAUAUAAAUAUAAUUGUUAAAUGAUAUUAUGAUAAAAUAAAGUUGCUAUUUUGCCUUUAUCCUGUAAUAUUGUGACUUAGGACUUAACUACACCUAACACAUGACUAAUCAAAAAAAUAUAUAUAUAUCUAUAAGCCCUUUACUAAGAAAAAUAUAUACACAUCCAAUAUCUUAAAGGUGGCAUGGUUCUGGUCGGCUAUUUGAUCGGCAUUUAUAAAGAUCCCAUGGAAUCCAUAUGGAACUCUAGCAGGCAACUCUAUAGAAGCCACUGUCUCAAGUGUGGGCGAUUUGGCAUCCAUGACCAAAAGCUCCGAGACACCACUUUCCUCAUUGUGGACGUAGCUUAAGACGUAUCCAUCGUCUUCCUCCUUGCCAUUGGCCACAAAGAAAGGCUCGCCACAAAACUUACCACGUUCGAAUCUCCUCGACGCCACAACGCACGGCUCGUUUAGAUCCGGGUCACUUGUUCCAUCGAUUACCACCUGGGCAGCCGUUGAGCGUCCAAAUCGACUUUGGCCAGGCCCGAGAUUUUGGGCCAUGGCCCAUAGUAGCACAUGUAUACGUACCGAUUCUUUCGCCCCAGGAAUUUCUGGUUGAUCUGUCCAAAAUCCAGUCCGGCCGAGCACACGUGUUGCUUCCACGACCGUCCAGAUCGAAGGUCGAGGUGGAUCUCGUGCAAUCUGUUGGACAAUCCGGCGAUAUCGUCAAACAAA
rnacentral:lncRNA from 1 species